UCAGUGGGGAUUCCCAGGUGCACACAUCUCCUGAGAGAGUCCAGCCCCUCCUGGCGGCUGUGGUCCCUGGAUGCGGGUGCUCGAGGCCUGUUCUUCUCCCUGUGGCAGUGGUGAGUGUAAUGCCUCAGAAGACUCUGCCAGGGCAUUAAACAAAGUCAUACGCGAACCCCCCGGUGCACGGCAGAGGACUUUGUCACCUGUGUGCUCAUGCGUGAGCAACAGCGCCUGAUGACUCUUGGGAAGAGCGAGGGCCUGCAGGCGGCAGUGGCGAGGGAACCCUAGCACACAGGAACUCAAGCAGCUUCAGAGAAGGUCUUACUUGUUUCCAGGGAGAGGCCAGAGGCUCUGGGAACCCAAUUCAAUAUGUAAUAUACAGCGGUGUCCACUCUAGGGUCUAAAGCAAAGGCAAGAGGAGAAAUAA
rnacentral:antisense_RNA from 1 species